AUGUCAAUCUGAACUUGAUAAAUUAAACGCCACAACAUGUCUCCCUUUCGGAGAUUAUUCAGGAGUUAAUCAACUCAACGUCUCUGGCAUAGGUUUAUUCGAUGUUUUGUGCGAUAGUCAGUUAGCUGGACCUGGAUGGAUUGUAAUACAACAACGAGUUGGGGGAAAUGAGAGUUUCGAAAGGGAUUGGGCAACGUAUCGCAAAGGUUUCGGCGUUCCUGAAAGUGAUUUCUUUCUUGGAUUAGAGAAAUUACAUCGUAUCACGAGCUUGCAGCGUUUCGAACUUUACAUACAUUUGGGUUUUCGGAAUGGAAGUACCUACAACGUUCGUUAUGACGACUUCAAAAUAUCUAAUGAAGAUAAUGGAUAUGCACUGAGUUUGGGUAAAUUCAAUGGAACUAUUCUUGAGGAUGCAUUGAGAGGCAGUGAAAACAUGAAAUUCACAACAUUCGAUCACGACAGUGACAACGAUGAUGAUGAUAAUUGCGCAAUCAUAUAUGAAAGUGGCUGGUGGUACUAUUAUUGUAAUACUUGUAAUUUAAAUGCACCAUAUGAGCGGUAUCUAAAUUGGUGGUACGAUACAAUUAAAGAAGUUAAGAUGCUAAUUCGCCCCAAAGAAGCGAUGAAGUGAUAAACUCAAAAGCUGAAAUUCCCAUAUUUGACUCAAUUAUGUAAUCAUUUAUAUAUAAUUGAUGCAUUAAGAAAUUGCGUUCUGAAAAAUAAAAUGAUCGACUAUUUAA